AUCUGAUGCAUCUACACGAAAAAGACAUAAAGUUGACUGGAUAAAGUAAACUUGUUAUUAUUUUGCUGAAGCUUGUUAAAUUAUUAAGCAUAUCAGCAAGCUAGUUAACCUUCUUUUUCUUUUCUUAUUCACAUGAGUCAGUCUUUCAUUCUUCUCUAGUCGCAUAUACUUGCAUGUGCUGCCUAAAUAUUUUGUUAUUAGAUACGCUAGUAUGCAUGUACAACAUUCAUGCAAAUAGUGCCUAGUUUGGUAUCUCUUUGAAUUCAUAAUGGAAUUUUUAAUUAAAAAAAGCAUGGAAAACACAUCCUAAUCACUGGGUGAUAGAAGCAUGAUGUCACAUGCAUGGAAUUAGCGUACGGCUUGGCCGGCUGGCCGGAUUGGCCUACAGUACCUUGUUUGUCUCGGGCACAAACAUAGAUAUAUGCAUAUACAUAUUUGAUGAAUUGACGGACCUCAUUUUUUCUUUUCCUUGAGAAUCUCGCUCAUGCACUUUUGGACUUAUCAUUAUGUAAGAUUAUGUAUACUUGUACGCGCAUAAGAUUGGUGUUACGUAACUUGCACAUAUCUGUUAAUCCCAAUCAUCAAUGAAGAAAUCAAUGGUGUACGGAAAAGGCAUAUGCGGCUGAUUUUAUUUUAGUAAUAUAUAUGAGUCCACAUGGAUUUUUUAAUAUUUUGUGUGGUGGUCGGACUCUUCCUUAUUCCUUAUAGUUGGCACCCAUACUAUGCAAUAGCAACGUAUGAGUUUGCAUGUGAUUGUCUUGGAGAUAUCUUUUUUUAGUAGAAAAAGCAUAUAAGACUUGGAUGAAAGAUGUGCACGUGACACGUAAACUGUUUUUACAUCAUUUUAUUUGUACGUAAUACUACAUCUUUUUAAUCUUAAUCGUUAAUAUAUAAAAUUGAUGAUCAAGAUAAUUUAAUCUGUGUGGAUGAACAUGAUUGCUUGUUUGUCUCUUGUUUAAAUAAUAUAAUAGAUGGAACUUGAUGACGCUUCACUUGUGUUGCACCUUUUUCCCUUGGUUUUGCAGUUGCAUGCAUCAACUGGAUGGAAGGGGGCGCUAUGGAGCAAGUCAUAGAUGAUACCAUGGAAGAUUCAAAAGAUAUAUGGAUGAUUAUAUGGGUGUGACAAGUAUACUGCAAUGAUGUGAUGAUGAUGUUCCGGUUCAUGAUGAUGAUGAUGUUCUGGUUCAUGAUGAUGAUGAUGGAUGCUUUCAGUUUUAGUUAAGUUGUAGAGAUGUUGUUCUUGUUGGAUGUUGUUCCUAGGUUAAGUUUUUGUUAAGUUGUAGGGAUGUUGAUGAAUGCUUUUGGUUUAAGUUUCUUUGUCAAAAAUAUAUUUAUAUUAUGCAUCACAUUUGAUGAUGUACCCCUUUCAUAUCCACUAUUGUAAUCCAACUGUUUUAUCAAUAUAUGUUUUCUUUCUCUUGUGAGUA